GAUAAGUGCGUGUCUAAUACGUUUUGCUGACCGAGGUUAGUUAAGAACAGACGAUGUCUUCGGAUUCGGAAAAUAAGAAAUCAGACACGAGAGGGCGUUUUUGGAGAGUGGAGGUUCGCUUGUAGCUGGAGGCGCGAAGAGAAAAAGUGAAUCUCCACAUGAACCCCGAGAAAAAGAAGAAGAGAAAAAGCAGACGAUGAGAGGAAAUUUUUGUGAUUAAAGUUAAGUCAAUAUGGAAACUCGAGUCGAGUCUCAACAUUGUCACAUCAGAAAACGUCAAUCCUUUUGAAAUUUUAAAAGAAUUAUCUUGAAUUAUCACAAUACGUUAUGGAUCAUUAUAUGAAAUGGUAGAAUCGGCUUCCGAAGAAGAUAGUAUGUUUGCAAACCAAUUAUAUGAGACUUGAAACUAUGAUAGAUGAUCUUAUGUCCCAAAGAGACGUCGAACGGAAAAUAUCUAGCAUGUAUUAUUGUUCCACAUUAAUUGUGCUAACAUCCUUUCAUCAUAAAUAAAGGAUAUCUCUUCCUUUCCGAAGACUAUUAUGAUUUUAAAUGUUCAUCAUCAGCAAAUAUGUCGCAAACUACAGUAUUGUGCUAUGGGAUCGCAAGCAGCCUUUGUGUUAAAAGACUAAAAACGUAACUGGAAUUGGCAAACUCUGAGAAGUCAGGUGUCUGAAGGUGCCAAACAAGCGAACACUGUGCUUCUAGAAAAAUCAGGUACACUACACACAUUUCAUAUGGGUAGCAUAGAAAAUAUAGUCAAAUUAAUCGUCGUGUCAUACACAAGGUGUGCCCACCGUUGCCGAGUGGAGAAAACUACGUAA